AGGGAAAACUUUAAAUACCAUUUCUGUUGCUUCGCACUUUUUUAUUUUAGUACUCCGUGAUUUAAAAUUUAUCAAGUUAGUAUCUUAUAGUUUAGCACUUUCUCACUUUAAUAUCAUGUGGCUUAAAGUGCAUCAAUUUAGUACCCUUUGGUUCCAUUUUUUCUUUUCGUCGGCUCCUCUGUUAAUAUUUUGUUAAAUUAUAUACAAAAAACUUCAUAUAUCCUGCCUAGGUUCAUCGAAUAUUUACUUUAGUACCUUUUUGGUUUUAAUUUUGUCACUAAUUUUUUUCCUCCAUUAAUAUUUCGUUAAAUUAUAUACAAAAAACUUUAGGUACCCUACCUAACUAGGUUUAUCCAAUAUUCACUUUAGUACCUUUUAAUUUUAACAUUAUCAUUGAUUUAACAAAAAAAUUAGUAAAAUGGAUAAAAAAAAGAGAAAAAUAAAACCACAGGGUACUAACUUGAUACAGUUUAAACGACAGAGUACUAAAGUGAGAAAGUGCAAAACCACAGGGACUAACUUGAUACACUUUAAACCACAGGAUAUUAAAGUGAGAAACUGUGAAACCACAGGGGGGUAUUUGAAGUUUA
rnacentral:lncRNA from 1 species